rnacentral:rRNA from 1 species
AUUGAACGCUGGCGGCAUGCCUUACACAUGCAAGUCGAACGGUAACGGCGGGGCAACCUGGCGACGAGUGGCGAACGGGUGAGUAAUAUAUCGGAACGUGCCCUAGAGGUGGGGGAUAACUAGUCGAAAGACUAGCUAAUACCGCAUACGAUCUAAAGGAUGAAAGGUGGGGGGAUCGCAAAGACCUCAUGCUCGGUGGAGCGGCCGAUAUCUGAUUAGC